ACAAUGGUUUUUGGAAGGGAUUUGGAGCCCAUGCGGUGAUUUCCACUACAGAGUCCUGUCUAUUUUUAAUUUUAAUGCCUGUGGGCCUAAGAUCAGGACCAUCCAGUAUUGGUUUUGGUCUAAAAAUGUAAAAGCUGCAAAAAUAUUAUUGAAAAAAGGUUAAAAUCAGUAAUGAUGUUAAAAAAAACCUUGUAUCUUAACAUAAAGAGACUCUAGUUACCAGAUUAAGACUUUGAACAACCAUAGGCACCCAAAAAAUGUUUCUUUUCUCUGCCUGAAUAUUUAAUUUUGGACAAGUUUAGGAUUUUUUUUAAUUUGAAUAACAGAAAAAAGUCUGUUUGGACGAAUCACCACUCUGAUCUGUUUAAGUGUGACUUUGACAGACACCCUUUUUUUCUGAGCUUCACCUCAUGUGGGUUAAAGCUUAGCAUCACUUUAUUUGAGUCACUUCAUUUUCUCUCUCACUUUUCCCUCUCCCAAUUUCUCUCUCCAAACUUGAUGGCCUACUUUUCCUGCGCUUUGAAAAAUUGUCUUUGGUGAGGGUUGGAUGAAAGUUGUCGAUGGGGAGAGUGGGGGAGCGCUGGGCAGAGGAAGCGAGUGAAGGCUUGCCCCUUUAUCUUCCUGCCCAGACCUCCAUCAUGUCUGGCUCUCCCUCCCUGGUUCUAUCUCUUCCUCUCCGUCUCUCUCUCUGUUUCUCGUGUUGUGAGAUUACUCAUCAGCAUAAAUUCUUACAUCUAGCAUGAAAAACAACGGCUGGUUUUAUGUGACAGACGGCUCGGAAAGUGCCAUGAAACAUUUUGAACACAAACAGACUCUUUGAAGCCUCUGCAGAUCUGCUGGGAAAUAUUCAGACACAAAAAAAUUUGUUAAGUAAGUAAUUAGGAGUGUGUGCUGUCGACCCAGUCUGUGAAUUAAAAGACAGUAAACUGAUCAAUAACAAUGUUGAAUGUCCAUAAUAAACCCAUAUGGCCCAUAAGAUGAGAUACACGGAUGGCAGUGUGAUCUUUAUGUGUAUUAUCGUUUCAUGGACCUGCAACCUGAAGCUGUUCAUUCAUGAAUAUCUUCAUAAAGGCUCAGAGCAAGCUCAGAACAGCAGCCAAUGUACCAACAGUAAUUGUAAGCUAACGUAGCAAAAUGGAGAGUUGGUGGGCACCAAAAGCUAGCCUCAGGUGUAUUCUGUUAUUUGUCGGGUCCUCUAAUAUGACUGCAAAGCUCUGUUAAAGAUAGCACUGUGUCAAGCUGCAUCUUACUAUCUAUCAAUAAAAAAACAGCCAAGAUGUUUUCUGUCGAGGCAUAUUUCUUUGAGGUUUGUUCAGUGAGAACAAAGCUGUGUAAAAAGUAUCACCCCCAACUGUGUCUUACUUUAUCAGUGAAAAAGCAGCUGAACUGGAACGUUUAAGGCAGGACUUGAUAAGCGUCUUAUCAAGUGGCUUUUUGAAUGUUGUUGGGAGGGGUGAAGACCAAUGCAAACAAACGCAAAGACAGAAAAGCACCAAAAUAUGCUGAGACAUAAAAACAAAACAAUCAAAUGCAGAGGUUAAAAAGUGAUUCAGUUUCUGUUACAGCAGUAUGUUUGUGAGUGGGAGGAUAUAAUCUGGGUGUUAUUCCCACAGUCUUGGCUUUUAUGUCUUUACAUGGUCGGCUCUGAUUGUUGAAACAGUCUGAGUCUGAGGUGACAAUGUUGGUACCAGCAAAAAAACCGACACCAACUGUGGCCAGCAUGUUGUUGUUCACAACAAACAGCGUGUCCACAUUUUUAAUUGGUUAAUUUUUUGAUUACAGUCGUACCCAUUUCAUGGUUUAACUGUGUCUAAAAUAUGACUUUGUUGUUCUGGAUCAUGUUUAUAUCUGUUGUUUUCAUUUUUAUACUUGAAGACAAAAAACAGAAGACAAAGAGACCAACAGCAGUAGCUCACACACAUACACACACACACACACACACACACACACCUGUGGCCUGCCUCUGAGGACACAGCUGGCUGUCUUCACCUUCUGACACCCUCCCACCAUCCUCCACACACACACACACACACACACACACACACACACAUACACACACACACACACACACACCUCCUCCUCCUCCUUCGUCCUUCAUCAGUCCUCACGUUUGUUCCCCCGCUGCUGGCUGGCUAAGGCAGCUGUCACCAUGGUUACCAGCCAGGAUCACACCCAAUUGUGAGACGGAUGUGGCGCCUGAGGAUGGAGGAGGAAGGGUGAAAAGGAGGAGGAGGAAAGUGUACAGUAUCUGAGGAAGAAAGGAUGAUUGAGCUGUAGUGGAAGUCUUGCAGAGGUCAGCAGAAAAAGACACAAAUGCUGACAGUGUGACCUUUGACCUGUUCCAUCCUGAAGAUGCACCAACAGGCUGAAACCUGGUGAUUUAAACUCACAUUCAUUCAUGAGCAACAUCAAACUAGGCUCAGGACACACAUGAGUUUAGAUGCACUAAAUCAAAGAAAAGAGAGCUGGGACUAAACUGAACAAAGUCAGGCUCAGCUGUUUCCUCACCUCUUUCUGGAGUCCUCAGACAGAGAUGAAGUCGUAUCUCUGUCCUGUUCCAAAUGACUGAACAAACUCAGAUCUUUUCCAAACACAAAGCAGCCACCUCACUGCGAAUUCAGUGUUGUUUCCUUGACAACGAGGCUGUAAAUUGUGUUUUUCAGCUCAUCCCCAACUGAUCAGCUGAGUCUGUAUUUACCUGACGCUGAGUAGCCUCCAUCCUCAGAUUAGAUCAUCAGCAGGAACAACACGUCCCUGAAAGAAGAAGGAUGAAGAAUUAAACUCCACUCCCAAAGAAAAGAAAGGUUAUCUAGACAGAUGACCUUUGACCCCAUGAGUGGACUCUCCUGGUGUCUCUAAACAAAACAAAAUCAAAAUGGCAGCUGUGUUUUGUUUCUGAUCCCCGCGGAGAGAAAACAUCUCUGAGGCGAGCAGCAUGGAUCACAUUCAAACAUCUCACUGUUUACUUGGCUCAGUUUGCUGGAGAUCUCCCAUGAGCCUCUGCUUCUCUAAAAAUCCCAGAGCAGUCAACACAUAGCGGCUGGGGUCUAACAAUACCAAAGAAGUUAGGAUGUUGAAAUGAUGAUGAAAAAACAAUUGAGAUGGUUUGCAUAACAUUGUAAGUCCUAAUUUGAUCAGAAAAGUACAAAAAACAAGAUUAUGUAAAGACUGUAAACCAUCAAAAUCUGUUUUUAUCAACAUAAUACACAGUGCCCUGGUGGUUUUGGAGUAUUGGUUGUGAAAAUAUACGAUAUCCUGCAAUAUCAAAAAUCCUGUUUUGUCCUUUGGAAGUCUCUCAUAAACGUGACGUAAAAAUUAUAAGCCAAUUUCUCACUCCGUCAAGAGGAACUUAGAUUAAGAUGUGAUGUUUAAUUGCUUUUGAAACACCCUGAUAACAGGACAUGUGACCUCAGAGAGCAACACUUCGCCUCUUUAUCAGUCCUGAAGUCAAGGUGAACAGCAGCUCUGCCUGUUUAAACUCCAGAGGCAUCAAUCAGACUGAUGACGGCCACGCUCUCAGCCCAUCCAGACCUCCAACAGAAGGCUGCAGCAGCCGGGUCGUAAACCUGCCAGCAGCCGAGCGCUCCCACGGCGCCAACACAUCACCCGGUUUAAAUCCUCCGCCGUUUAAACUGGAACUGUUUGGGCCUGGAGCUGCAGCAGAGCCACUUUGUGUCCAUCAGAUUUAUGAGCUCGUUUGAUUUUGAUGAAGAGCAGGACGGCCAGAGGACGACACAAACCCGCCGCUCUGUAAUUCAACUCUGCUCUGACAACCAAUCAGCUUCUACAAUCAGAGCAGGACGACCACUUUUUCCAAACAGUUAACCAUCAUUCAGAGCCAGAAAAAGUUCAGGAAAGUCUUUUUAUGUGUGACGUCUGCAGGAAUAUUUAUGUUGACAUUUCUGUCCUUGUCCAGCUCUCCUUUCAAAGUUUUGACAACACAUCUUCAGAGGUAGAUAAGGCAACUGUCAUCCAAAAUCUCAGUUAAUCGUCAAUCUGUUAACAAAGACGCCAACAAUGACGUUAAAUUAAAAUUCUGUUCAUAAUCCAGUAUAACCCAAAUACACAAGACCCAUACAGAUCCACAGAGGACCUGAAAUCCUUAGGGACUAUUUGAUUUUUCUCAGGUUGUUUGUGAUCCAAUGUACAAUAUCAGAACAAGAUUUGAGAGGAUCACAGAGAUAGGAAUAAGCAGAGAGGACCAAGGAAAGAGGGUGGAGCAGAAAGGAACCAGGAGAGAGGAUCGAGGAGAGAGGAACGUGGACUGAGGAACGAAUUUUGAGUGAUACAGAAGUGCAGACUCUUGACCCAGUCUUUUGUCUGUCUAACAUGCAUGUUGUCAUCUGACUUUGUGCAAAAUUCCUGUUUAUCGGAGACAAAAUAACGUUUGUGUUUAAAGGAGGAAAUAAUUAGCAUAACUGAAAAAAAGUAACUAAUGACAGACCAUUAAUAACUUUUAUAUUUUAUUAAUACAGUCCAAAAUCCCAUGGAUAACAUUAUUUUCUUGUCUUAGAUAUCUUGUUAGACAUUUCUUCUGUAAAAUGUGUGUGUGUGUGUGUGUGUUGGAUGCACACACAGAGCAGUCUGUUUGUUCAGAUGCAGGGUAACAGUGAUAGAGGAAGUGAAAGAACGACUGGAUACCUCACAACGCCAACCUGCAACUAUUACCUUCUGACACCCAGCAGUGUGUACGUGUGCGUGCGUGUUUGUCUGUGUGUGUGUGUGUGUGUGUGUUUGAAUGUGACAGCAGGUAAUAUGUGGGUGGCAUUCCCAAAGAAAAGAGGCACGUCUCCAUGUUUUGGUGUGGAGUUGGUUAAAGUGUUUUUAAAACCUGUCAUGGUGUGUUCAGGAUCACUCUGGACAUCUGGUUAUUAAAGCCGAGAGAGUUCUUUACAAGCAAUGCAAAACAAACACACAGGAAUGAUAAAAGUAUAACUGUAUUACUUUUUUUAAAAUGUUAUUUUGCUCACAAACAAUCUAAAGCAAUGUUUAAAAAGGCAGACACUCGGCUGGGCAGCUGUAACAAGGUUGUUAUUGUUCAGACUCAUGAAUCUGCAGAUUUCUGACAUGUAGGGUCGUAAAGCUGACAGAUGUGGUUCAUAGAGGACGAUGAAACUGAAGCUGAUGAAUGAGAUGUGGUGAAGGUGAAUGGCUGCUCAGGCCACAGAAUAAAACUAACUUCACUGCCAGAUAGUGGCAAGGGGGGCAAAGAUAAAGGUCUCCAUGUGUUUUUAUUGCUGGCUUUCCUGAACCAGGUAAUUUCACUGUCUCGCUGCCCUGCAACAGACAUAAAUGUAGCCCGUAAGUCUUAAUGAGAUGCUCAAAGAGCUUGAAUAAGGUGAAUUGGGGGUUUAGUGGCUGUGAAGGAGCGCGGAGCAGAGUCACAUGUGAUGUUAUAGCUGAUUGAUGUAAAUGAAGGAAAGAUAGAGGAAAGUAAGGACAGAAAGAACCGGGUGCUUAAAUUCUGCAGCUGUAUCGGAGGCCCCCGCACCCCUGCAGUGAGUCUUGUACUUGGGGUAAACCUCUUGAAAAAGCAAACACUGGUGUGGACGUAGAGGACGGUCACGUCUUCCUGUGAUUGACUCCUCCAGGAAAAACAUUCUGCAGCGACCUCCUGCAGAGUCCGGGCUGUGAACCUGCACUGCUCUGCAGGCUGCUGACACCCCUUUGUCUACACAACACAACACAACACAACGACCAAAAUAUAAUGUGUUAAUCACAAGCAUUCUCAUGCAAAGAAUGAAAUGCACUUAAAAAUAUGCUGCAGGGCAAACAAUGUCUCUGUUUGUUGGUGCUGAUCAUACAUAUUUAAAUGAGCUAUUUUGCAUUUAUUUGGGGCAAAAUGUUCAGUACCAAAAACUAUCUGCACAAGGAGAAAUGUGCUGCAAAACCUCCAAAACAGAUGUAGCUUUUUACUGCAUGUUUUUUUCAUCUGCAGUGCACUACUGUGUGAAGAGCAAAGUGCUGCAAAUACGAAGACAGAAAAAAGCUGCAAAUCCAGAUACAAGCAAAAAACUACUUUGACUUUCAUCGAAGAAGGUGGAAGAACCUGUGCAGUUUCAUCUUCUCUAUGGGUCAUAACAAACUUUAACUUUGUUAACUUUGCACAAAACACAUGCCCUAAAGGUCCCCCAUGAUGAAAAAAUCUGCUUUUGGGUGGUUUUCUACCAAUACUAUGCAUUUCCCCGAAGCCAACUUCCUGAAACUUCCUGAAGAGUCCUCCUGUAUGUGAUCGACAAUUUACCAAGAUUACCCGUCCACACAGAGGACUCAGAUACUCUUCAGAAAAGGAUUAAUGCUAUUGAGCUUACUAGUAAUUAUGAUCAUUAAUCUGUGGUUAAAAUAAGACCCUGGAUGUUGCAGAAAGAUAUGAAGACCAGAAAGCUGACUGACUCACAGGUCGAGUGGAUUUUACCACAUCAUAUGAUUUUACUUUAAAAGCUUUUAUUGUUUAUGUAACAAUAUAACGUUGUACAGUACAGGGUUGACUCAAAUAAUCACUAAGCACUGAAUCUUACAUGAUUUGUUUCAGAUGUACCCUAAGUGGAAUAGUCCUGUUUAAUCAGAGCAUUAAAGUAUCUCUUCAGCUUUCUGCCAUUACAGUUAAUGCUAACGUGCAAUCUCCCUGCUAAAGUAAGAAACACCAAUCUGAGUUGUAUCAAAGUAAAACUUCUUUAACCAGCAGUGAAUCUGUUGCUUUUAAACGUGAUAGUAUCCUGAUACAAAUGUCGGCUGUGUUGCUGCCGGCUGUCUUCUCACAUGCUGUGAGCGAAUGAGGAAGCAGAGGUCUGAAUAAACUGAUUAAAAUGAUCUUUAGUCAGAAGAAACAUUAAAGGGAUGGAAAAGAAACAUCAAAUGAGAAAACACCAGAGUCACGCCGGAUUUAUCCUGCCAAGCAUGUCGGCAUCAAAAGGCUUUUAUUUUGUUGAGACGUGUUGGGGCUGUGUAGUUCUGCCAGAAGAGCCUCCAGCAGAGAGAGCAGAGCGUUCAGUUCGGUUUGCAUCAGAGUUUCAUCAGGUGUUUCCAAAGCAACACAAAAAUCUGAGCGUUAAACACACAGGAUCCCUAAAACAUGUAAAAACCUGCAGCUUAAUUCAAUCUUACACUUUUUUUUUAAACUAAUGCAUUCAUAUAAAGCAGCUUUUCAAAUUUAGAGUUUAAGAGUGCUAAUUUUCUCGCUGUGAAAAACUGCUAAUGACAGAUAAUAAUCAUUACAAUCAUUCUAUUAUACAGAUCAAUCUGCUGAUAGAGUGGUUUGAUCAAAUCUAAAAAAAAUCUAAUUUCUGUCUAAACCUCUACUAAUUUUUCUGUUGUUUGUUUCUACAUAUUUUUUAGAGCUUUGUGUCUCUUUUUAGUUGUUUUGUCUCAGUAAAGUUUGUGGUCUCUAAUUUUACUGGUUUCUGUCAUUUUUGUCUCUUUUUUAUUUCCCCUCUUCUCUUUUCUCUUCUUCUUCUUUUUUUUUUUUUUUGUCUUUUUCUGUUGUAUGUCUCAGUCUUUUUGUGUGUUUUUCUUUUGUUUAUCUUUGUUGUUGUUUUGUGUUUGUUGUGCUUCUUUGUUUCUCUUUUUUGUUUUCAGUCUCUCCAUAGUUUUUUUGUGUUUCUUUUUGCAUUAACUUUUGUAGUUUGUUUUCUUUUUGGGUUUUCUGAACUGCGACUGUAAUUUAUUGACUUUUUUAUUUGAUCAGUGUAAUUUGUUGUUUGCUUUAUGUUUUUUUUCUGUUGUUUUGUAUCUCUCUGUUUGUCAUUUUGUGAUUUUUGUGAGUUUUUCCUCUUCAUUUAUUUUAAUACUUACCAUUUUUGAUUUUUUUGUGUGUGUGCGUGUGUCUUUCUUUCUCACUCUCUUUGUAGUUGUUUUGUUUCUCUUUUUGAGUCUCUUUGUUGUCUCUUCUCUUGGCCCCUAUCCUUUCUGUCCUGCCGCAAAAAAGAGGAGGUCGUUUGUUUGUUUUUUCUUUUGUUUUUGUCUCAAGUCUUUUGUCUCGUAUAUUUAUUAUGUAUUUUUUCCUCUGGUACCUUUUUUAUUUUAAGGGCCUUAUAUCUGAAUGUAAGUUUUUGGUCUUUCUUCGUAAUUUUAUGAGUUUAUUUCAUGUGUUUUGUCUAUUUGUGUAAUUUGUGGUUGGUUUGUAUUUCAUUGUUUUGUCUGUUAAGAACAAAAAUUAUAGCACAUAACAUCUUUUGCUUUUAUUCCCUGAAGUGAGGAUUCUUUAACCUUACAGUGACAUUUAUUCUGUUAAACUUCCUCUUGUCUUUAGAGCCGUUUCAUGCUGCUUUGCAGUGGUUGUGUAAGUCCUCUGUGUUUCUGCGGUCAGAUUGCAAAGUGUGUAACACGUCUCCACCACAGACAGCAGAGACGUUUGCUGUUGCAGAACAACACAGAGUGACCUCAACUACGGGGUUAAUGUGGUCAUGAGAUCAAGAGAAACAACGGGAAAAUCCUCCAACUGUCCAACUUGAACUAACGUCAUCCAGCUACCUUAAAAAUCCUCUCACUUCUUCGCUCCCACUCUCACUUCCUGUGGGUAAAAGUCCUCCAUACAGCUUUGCAUUUAUCAUUACACUAAGUGAUUAGUGUGGAUGUGUUACUGAACAUCUCUCUACUAAUGCUGCAUGUGGUACAAGGGGAGCUAAUUUAUCUAAAAUAUUGUCCAAAAACCUGUGGUGACUUCCACAACAUGGUCUUGUCUGUUUUCAAUGUGGAGAUAUCCUUAAAUACAUAUAAAAAAACAGAAUACAGUAACUUAUACAAUCUUUUAUUAUCAGCACAGGCAAUAGCAAACAGGUGGCCCCUUCACAUUAGAUUCAAUGCCAGUUGCUGCUGGUCUACCUGAAUCUGGUGUGGGAUGCCAAAGGCUUCUUUACAGUAGUUGAGCUUUACUUUGCUGUUGAGCUCAGAACAUCACCUACCCUCCAGCAGGUAAACUAGGUGAGUUUAUGUUGAUGAACAAUUAGCAACAGAAGGUGGUUCAUCCAGAAACAGGUUUUUGUGUUCUAAUAAAAGUUGAAAUUUCCCCCUUCAACAUUUUUGUUCCACAUCCACCUGAUGUAAUGAUCAUCUUUGCCCUUAACGACAUCAGCUGACCUAAGGCGUUGAAAACAAAGCUAACGGGCACUUCCUCUUCAGCAGCAGUGAACUUGGCUGUCUGUCACGCUGUGGUUACAGAGGGAAAAAAAAAAACAUAACAGACCUCUGUCUCACUUCCUGUAGUAAAACGGUCAUCUGCUCAAGAACAACCAAAACAGGAAGUGAGUGGAGUGUGACAGUAUGACGAAGCGUUUUUAUUUAUCCGGUAACACGUGAGAAAAGCUGUCUGUGGUUUGCUGCAGCAGCAAUGUGCUAGAAACUGUGGCUCUGAGGCUACGAGGACAUUUAUUUCUAAAGUGUGCAAUUUAAGACAACUUUGUGAAGGGCGUUGUUUCAGUUCUCAUUUUUUAAGGUCUUCUUUUUCAUUCCUGAAUGUAUUUGUACCGAUUAAACAUUUUGACCUCUUUUAGGUUUGCCUGGGACACUGCCUGAGUAAAUCUGCAGAAUGUGCAAACUCUAUAAAAACUUUGAUUUCCUCAAUUCUUGAUAGAAAAACUAGACCCAGUCAGGGGUGUUACUUUUUACACAGCUUUGUUGUCAUAAAAUGGCCCCUAAAUUAUGCUUUGAUGGUAAACAUCCAAGGCUAGCCGUUAGCGCUAACUUCAUGUUGCUAUCGAUGAUGAAUAUUUUUGACUGUGGCUGUUAAGGAACACGUGACCACUUUGGUGCAUUGGUAAGAGUGCAUGAAUACCAGGAUGUUAUUGUCAAAAUGUUUAUUGAUAAUGGUUUGAUUAUAACUCAGAAUGUGUGUGUUUCAGUGCACAAGCUUAACAGCGCUGACAGCCUUAGCCUUAUUUAUACUAACCAUAGACUGUAUAAACUAUGGACAACUUGGCUCAGCCUUCCGCCACUACACAGAUUUAAAGCCAAAUUGCUCUCGGUAUUUCCUGGAUUUUCUCCACUUCCUGGAACCACCACUCUCUCAGUAACAUAUGCAUUCCACCACUUAUGCAGUAGCAUUUUAUGCAUUUGGCAGGAGAGUCACAGGGAGUCACUAUGAUGACGCUCAGCUCAAACAGUGUAUCCUCCAGGUGAGCUACGCAAUCUUCGUACACCCAUAGGCUGUAUCAAGUGUUAAUCAUAGAAAACAUGAACCCCCUCAUAACUUUUAAAAAUUGAGCUGUACAGUAAAAAUAGGACAUGUCAACAUCGCAACCAGGAAGGAGAAAAUUUUUUUUUUCUUUGUAAUAAAUUUCGAAAGUUCGCUCACAGCUCCAUAGGGAUUGCUGGUGGAGGCGGGAUUUAUGACCUAUACUGCAGCCCGUCACCAAAGGGUGCUGUUCUUGCCGUGGCUUCACCCAGCGAGGAGGCAGAUGGUGUCUAUUCUAUAUAUAAAGUCUAUGGUACAAACAGUAUGCCUAAAGACACCCAUAGUUAGCCUGGAAGUUUAAUGACUAAUUAACUUGUCAUAUAGGUUAUGUUUAAAAGGGUUAACAACAAUCUGUGCCUCUCAUACAUUUUAAAUGUUUUAACUUUAUUGUAACUAUUUUUACAGCAGUGAACAGUGAGGAAAUUUUUAAUUAUUGUCUGUUACCUUUUUGAUACUACAUAUAGUGUUUUUCAGCUCUUAUAACUGUAACAGCACCACCCAGACU